rnacentral:rRNA from 1 species
UACGUAGGGUGCAAGCGUUGUCCGGAAUUAUUGGGCGUAAAGGGCUCGUAGGCGGUCUGUCACGUCGGGAGUGAAAACUCGGGGCUUAACCCCGAGCCUGCUUCCGAUACGGGCAGACUAGAGGUAUGCAGGGGAGAAUGGAAUUCCUGGUGUAGCGGUGAAAUGCGCAGAUAUCAGGAGGAACACCGGUGGCGAAGGCGGUUCUCUGGGCAUUACCUGACGCUGAGGCGCGAAAGCUAGGGGAGCGAACGGG